GACGAACUGCCCAAACGUUGUUCGGAAUCACUGGGCUUAAAGGGCGCGUAGGCGGCAGAUCAAGUCAGGGGUGAAAUCCGGCAGCUCAACUGUCGAAGUGCCUUUGAUACUGAUUUGCUCGAGGGAUAUAGGGGUCUGUGGAACUUCUGGUGGAGCGGUGAAAUGCGUUGAUAUCAGAAGGAACGCCGGUGGCGAAAGCGACGGACUGGAUAUCUUCUGACGCUGAGGCGCGAAAGCUAGGGGAGCAAACGGG
rnacentral:rRNA from 1 species